GAUGAAGAACGCAGCGAAAUGCGAUAAGUAAUGUGAAUUGCAGAAUUCCGUGAAUCAUCGAGUCUUUGAACGCACAUUGCGCCCCCUGGUAUUCCGGGGGGCAUGCCUGUCCGAGCGUCAUUGCUGCCCUCAAGCACGGCUUGUGUGUUGGGCCUCCGCCCCCCGGCUCCCGGGGGGCGGGCCCGAAAGGCAGCGGCGGCACCGCGUCCGGUCCUCGAGCGUAUGGGGCUUCGUCACCCGCUCCGUAGGCCCGGCCGGCGCCCGCCGGCGACCCCCCUCAAUCUUUCCAGGUUGACCUCGGAUCAGGUAGGGAUACCCGCUGAACUUAAGCAUAUCAAUAAGCGGAGGA
rnacentral:misc_RNA from 1 species